UAUUUUGCAGAGGAAAAAGACAGAAUGCUGAGUAAGUCUCCUUCCCCAACUUGAAGGAAGUCAAAGUCCUCCACGGCAUUAGCCAUGGGAUGAGCAUCAGUCCCCUCUGACCAUGCAUUUCAUUUGCUUCUAUUUUGCAGAGGAAACAGAUGCAGAGUUGGAGAUACGAAAAUUACUGAGUAAGUUGUGGUCACUAAAUUGAGGGAAUUUGGAGUCUUCAUAAAGGACUACAAAUUGGAUGAAAAAUCCCCUCUGACAAGCACUGCUUUUCUCCUUCUAUUCCAGGGAGACAGUAUGAAAACACAGGUGAGUUUUCUGUCCCAAAUAAAAAGUGUUGGAGUCUUUCUAUAUGAGCUGUGGGAUGAGAUGCUCCUCUCAUCACACGCUGUUUGUGCUUCUCCUUUGCACUUUUACGUGCUGUGAAUCUGAGUAAGUCUUUCCCCCACACUGAACAAAUUUGGGCACUUUCUAUGGUAUCAGCCAAGGGAUGAUAAUCUGACCCUUCUCAUCAUGCAUUUCUUAUUCAUUUCUUUCGCAGAGAAACGCACUGUAGAACCGGGUGAGUCUCCCUUUUCAAAUGCUGGGGUCUGCCUGUGGGAGCUGUGGAUGAGAUGUUCCUCUCAUCAUGCUUUGUUUUUCUUUUUCCAGUGGAACAAACUGAAGCAGGGGGUGAGUCUUCCCCAAACCGAAGGAAUUUGGGUUUUCCCGUGGGAUGACAAGCUGUCCCACCUCAGCAUCCGUUGCUUUCUUCUUUCUGUUCCAGAAAAACCAUCUGAAGAAUCAGGCUAAGAGAUGAACUGCACCUCACAGUAACCACAGGAGUUAAGCUUCAUAGACUGCUGAUUGCACAGGAUACCAAGACCACAAGAAUUCCAAUGAGAAAGGAAAUCCACAUUAAAACAAGCGGAGCCAGUGUUUGUAUUGAGUGAGAACACUGCAGUUCUGUGAGCCAAAGCUGCCUGAGGGACCACCGAACUCAGGAUGUGGGACCUCCAACUCAAAUCCAAUUGGAAGAAAGAAAACAUAGAAAGGGAGAAAAUGGGUGGAGAGGGAGUGCCUGGAGAAGAUAUAGACAUUUUGGGAAAUAGUGUGAUCAUGUGUCAGGAUUUGUGGAAAUCUCACGAGUAUGUAAUGCUUUUGGAAAUAUAAGAAUGCACACAGAAGGAAAGGGAGAAAACUGCUUUAGGUGUUAACACUGUUCUCUGUCACAAUAUAAUAAAGCAUACCUGCUGAUGGUAA